UACGUAGGGGGGCAAGCGUUUGUCCGGAAUUAUUGGGCGUAAAGAGCGUGUAGGCGGUCCGGUAAGUCAGCUGUGAAAGUCAAGGGCUCAACCCUUGAAAGCCGGUUGAUACUGUCGGGCUAGAGUCCGGAAGAGGCGAGUGGAAUUCCCGGUGUAGCGGUGAAAUGCGCAGAUAUCGGGAGGAACACCAAUGGCGAAGGCAGCUCGCUGGGACGGUACUGACGCUGAGACGCGAAAAGCGUGGGGGAGCAAACAGG
rnacentral:rRNA from 1 species